GGCCCUUCGGGGUACUCGAGCGGCGAACGGGUGAGUAACACGUGAGUAACCUGCCCCUGACUCUGGGAUAAGCCCGGGAAACUGGGUCUAAUACCGGAUACGACCACUCCAGGCAUCUGGUGGUGGUGGAAAGAACUUUGGUCAGGGAUGGGCUCGCGGCCUAUCAGCUUGUUGGUGGGGUAGUGGCCUACCAAGGCGACGACGGGUAGCCGGCCUGAGAGGGCGACCGGCCACACUGGGACUGAGACACGGCCCAGACUCCUACGGGAGGCAGCAGUGGGGAAUAUUGCGCAAUGGGCGAAAGCCUGACGCAGCGACGCCGCGUGGGGGAUGACGGCCUUCGGGUUGUAAACCUCUUUCAGCAGGGACGAAGUUGACGUGUACCUGCAGAAGAAGCGCCGGCUAACUACGUGCCAGCAGCCGCGGUAAUACGUAGGGCGCAAGCGUUGUCCGGAAUUAUUGGGCGUAAAGAGCUCGUAGGUGGCUGGUCGCGUCUGCCGUGAAAGCUUAGGGCUUAACCCUAGGUCUGCGGUGGAUACGGGCCGGCUAGAGGUAGGCAGGGGCAAGUGGAAUUCCUGGUGUAGCGGUGAAAUGCGCAGAUAUCAGGAGGAACACCGGUGGCGAAGGCGGCUUGCUGGGCCUUACCUGACGCUGAGGAGCGAAAGCGUGGGGAGCGAACAGGAUUAGAUACCCUGGUAGUCCACGCUGU
rnacentral:rRNA from 1 species